GGGGCCAUAGCUCAGUUGGGAGAGCGUUUGCAUGGCAUGCAAAAGGUCGUCGGUUCGAUCCCGUCUGGCUCCACCA
rnacentral:tRNA from 1 species